rnacentral:tRNA from 1 species
AUUUAAGUAGUUUAUUAAAAUAUUGAUUUGUGGAGUCAAAGAUGUACAAAAGUUACCUUAAAUA